rnacentral:lncRNA from 1 species
AGAGACUCUUCUGAGUCGGUCAAUUGAUAGUCAUAUUUGUGAGAAAGCAGAGUAGAACAAGACAUCAGUCGAACUUUCAUUAUCCAUAAGAAUUUUUUUUACAUCAAAGUUUGCUAUCGUCGUCAAGAUAACGACAGCAUCAUCAUGAGGAGUUUGUACUCCUCAAACAUCAUCAUCCGAAAAAGAGAUUAUAUUAUCACAUCGUUACUUUUUAAGUGACUAUUCUUCAAAGUUUUUCCUCUAGUUUUUCGAUCGCCCAG